rnacentral:rRNA from 1 species
UACGGAGGGUGCAAGCGUUAUCCGGAUUCACUGGGUUUAAAGGGUGCGUAGGUGGGCAAGUAAGUCCGUGGUGAAAUCUCCGGGCUUAACCCGGAAACUGCCAUUGAUACUAUUUGUCUUGAAUACUGUGGAGGUCAGCGGAAUAUGUCAUGUAGCGGUGAAAUGCUUAGAUAUGACAUAGAACACCAAUUGCGAAGGCAGCUGGCUACACAAAUAUUGACACUGAGGCACGAAAGCGUGGGGAUCAAACAGG